rnacentral:rRNA from 1 species
GAGGGAAAGGCGAAAAGAACCCCGGCGAGGGGAGUGAAAAAGAACCUGAAACCGUGUACGUACAAGCAGUAGGAGCCUCUUUAUGGGGUGACUGCGUACCUUUUGUAUAAUGGGUCAGCGACUUAUAUUCUGUAGCAAGGUUAACCGUAUAGGGGAGCCGUAGGGAAACCGAGUCUUAACUGGGCGAAUGAGUUGCAGGGUAUAGACCCGAAACCCGGUGAUCUAUCCAUGGGCAGGUUGAAGGUUGGGUAACACUAACUGGAGGACCGAACCGACUAAUGUUGAAAAAUUAGCGGAUGACUUGUGGAUGGGGGUGAAAGGCCAAUCAAACCGGGAGAUAGCUGGUUCUCCCCGAAAGCUAUUUAGGUAGCGCCUCGUGAAUUCAUCUUCGGGGGUAGAGCACUGUUUCGACUAGGGGGUCAUCCCGACUUACCAACUCGAUGCAAACUGCGAAUACCGAAGAAUGUUAUCACGGGAGACACACGGCGGGUGCUAACGUCCGUCGUGAAGAGGGAAACAACCCAGACCGCCAGCUAAGGUCCCAAAGUCAUGGUUAAGUGGGAAACGAAGUGGGAAGGCUCAGACAGCCAGGAUGUUGGCUUAGAAGCAGCCAUCAUUUAAAGAAAGCGUAAUAGCUCACUGGUCGAGUCGGCCCGCGCGGAAGAUGUAACGGGGCUAAACCAUGCACCGAAGCUGCGGCAGCGACACAA